GACGAACGCUGGCGGCGUGCCUAACACAUGCAAGUCGAACGGGGUUGAGUGCUUCGGUAUUCAACUUAGUGGCGAACGGGUGAGUAACGCGUGAAGAACCUGCCUUUCAGUGGGGGACAACAGUUGGAAACGACUGCUAAUACCGCAUGACACUGAUGAGGGGCAUCCCUUAUCAGUCAAAGCUUAAUGUGCUGAAAGAUGGCUUCGCGUCUGAUUAGCUAGAUGGCGGGUAACGGCCCACCAUGGCGACGAUCAGUAGCCGGUCUGAGAGGAUGAACGGCCACAUUGGGACUGAGAUACGGCCCAGACUCCUACGGGAGGCAGCAGUGGGGGAAUAUUGGGCAAUGGGGGAAACCCGUGACCCAGCAACNCCGCGUGAGGAAGAAGG
rnacentral:rRNA from 1 species